rnacentral:rRNA from 1 species
UGCAAGACGAGCCCAUGCAGGAUUAGCUAGUUGUGGGGGUAAGUAGGCGUCACCCAAGGCAACGAAUCUUAAGUUGGUCUGAGAGGAUGAUCAGCCACACUGGAACUGAGACACGGUCCAGACUCCUACGGGAGGCAGCAGUGGGGAAUAUUGGACAAUGGGCGUAAGCCUGAUCCAGCGACGCCGCGUGAGUGAAGAAGGCCUUCGGGUUGUAAAGUUCUUUUAGUGGGGAAGAUAAUGACGGUACCCACAGAAAAAGCCCCGGCUAACUUCGUGC